rnacentral:tRNA from 1 species
AGAGGGAUAGUUCAAUGGUAGAACAGCGGCCUUUGGAGCCGUCAGUCCUGGUUCGAGCCCAGGUCCCUCUG